AUUGAACGCUGGCGGCAGGCCUAACACAUGCAAGUCGAGCGGUAACAGGAAGAAGCUUGCUUCUUUGCUGACGAGUGGCGGACGGGUGAGUAAUGUCUGGGAAACUGCCUGAUGGGGGGGGAUAACUACUGGAAACGGUAGCUAAUACCGCAUAACGUCGCAAGACCAAAGAGGGGGACCUUCGGGCCUCUUGCCAUCGGAUGUGCCCAGAUGGGAUUAGCUAGUAGGUGGGGUAACGGCUCACCUAGGCGACGAUCCCUAGCUGGUCUGAGAGGAUGACCAGCCACACUGGAACUGAGACACGGUCCAGACUCCUACGGGAGGCAGCAGUGGGGAAUAUUGCACAAUGGGCGCAAGCCUGAUGCAGCCAUGCCGCGUGUAUGAAGAAGGCCUUCGGGUUGUAAAGUACUUUCAGCGGGGAGGAAGGGAGUAAAGUUAAUACCUUUGCUCAUUGACGUUACCCGCAGAAGAAGCACCGGCUAACUCCGUG
rnacentral:rRNA from 1 species